UUUUAAGCCAUCCUUGACCUUCAGCUACACUUGUCUGUCUUCUCUCUCAGGCUCAGUUUCCUGACCAGACCAGUGGUCCACACUUGCAGCCUCCCACAAGUUCAUCCAGCUGUCCUUCAUUCAGCUUUCCCGACUGGUCCAAUCACAGCCUCGGCCACGCCCAGAACUACGUCAGUCCCGUUCUUGCCCCAAAGCCACCCAGCAGCGCUCGAGAGGGACAGAUCAGGAAGACGGCAACAAAACGCCUCAUCAAGCAACCGUCCUCAGAGAGUCCAGCCUCCGGAGCCGGGACCGUGGGUCAGCAAACGGUCUACGAAGCGGUCUGCGGUAAAACAGGUCUCUCCGUGUACCGCAAGCUGUUCCCGGGCCAGGAGCCCAGUCACAGAUGACAGGAAGGCGACCGGAGGCAUGUCCCGCCGCACUGCUGGCCUAACAGGUGUCUCUGCAUGUAACUACAUCCUCUCAAAGAUGGAUUCUGGACAGGACAACGGCCACAGAUGAAAGCGUGCCAAACAUCGAAUGGUGUCCUAUUAAUUUCUCGGUGAUACAGCUCCAGACGUGCCAGAGGACCGACUGCCAGGUCAGGAAUUCCCAGCUUUGACGCAGGUUGGGAUUUUGUUGCGCAGUAUAACAUCAGAUGGCCUUUUCAGCUCGCCGCCCCCUCCUCAUCAUUCCCAGUGGCUGAAUCCAGUCUGUCGCCAGACGAACUGCUGCCGACUCUGAUUCCCUCCAUGCCAUUGAUGCCACUGAUAUACUUCAAGGAGAAAUGUAAGGGUUUUUAACCUGGUGCUGCUUUUGGAGAACUUCAACCACUUUCAGAAGAAAGAAAAAAAGAAAAAAAAAAUCCAAACUGGACUAGGAUAGUGCUUUAUAUACAAGGUUUAACUGCUUCCAAGAAAUUUAAUUUCUACUCCACAUUCUCCAAUUCUAUCUGUCAACAAACAACAAAUAUCUGACAUCUUAAACGAAGGUUGUAGUACACGUACAAGGACAACACGGACCAGACCAGACUAAGUUGUUUGUUUAGGCAGCCUGACUGUUAGAAAAAA